UAGGGAAUCUUCGGCAAUGGGGGGAACCCUGACCGAGCAACGCCGCGUGAGUGAAGAAGGUUUUCGGAUCGUAAAGCUCUGUUGUUAAGGAAGAACGAGUGUGAGAAUGGAAAGUUCAUACUGUGACGGUACUUAACCAGAAAGGGACGGCUAACUACGUGCCAGCAGCCGCGGUAAUACGUAGGUCCCGAGCGUUGUCCGGAUUUAUUGGGAGUAAAGCGAGCGCAGGCGGUUAGAUAAGUCUGAAGUUAAAGGCAGUGGCUCAACCAUUGUAGGCUUUGGAAACUGUUUAACUUGAGUGCAGAAGGGGAGAGUGGAAUUCCAUGUGUAGCGGUGAAAUGCGUAGAUAUAUGGAGAAACACCGGUGGCGAAAGCGGCUCUCUGGUCUGUAACUGACGCUGAGGCUCGAAAGCGUAGGGAGCGAACAGG
rnacentral:rRNA from 1 species